rnacentral:rRNA from 1 species
UACGUAGGGUGCGAGCGUUAAUCGGAAUUACUGGGCGUAAAGCGUGCGCAGGCGGUUCGUCGUGUCUGAUGUGAAAGCCCCGGGCUCAACCUGGGAAUGGCGAUGGAUACUGGCUCGCUAGAGUGCGGUAGAGGAGAGUGGAAUUCCCGGUGUAGCAGUGAAAUGCGUAGAGAUCGGGAGGAACAUCAGUUGCGAAGGCGGCUCUCUGGACCAGCACUGACACUGAGGCACGAAAGCGUGGGGAGCAAACAGG